rnacentral:rRNA from 1 species
UACGAAGGGGGCUAGCGUUGUUCGGAAUUACUGGGCGUAAAGCGCGUGUAGGCGGCCCGGUAAGUCCGCUGUGAAAGUCCAGGGCUCAACCCUGGGAUGCCGGUGGAUACUGUCGGGCUCGAGUCCGGAAGAGGCGAGUGGAAUUCCUGGUGUAGCGGUGAAAUGCGCAGAUAUCAGGAGGAACACCAAUGGCGAAGGCAGCUCGCUGGGACGUGACUGACGCUGAGACGCGAAAGCGUGGGGAGCAAACAGG